AUGGCAAUUGUCCACACAUACGAGAAGCCUGGCAUCUUCUUGACCAUGACUUGCAAUCCAAAAUGGGAAGAGAUAACUAAUGAGUUGCUGCCUGGUCAGACUGCGCAGGACCGACCUGAUAUUGUGGCUCGCGUGUUCUAUGGCAAACUAGAGGCUAUGAAGGACAUGUUGUUCAAGAAGCAGAUCCUAGGUGUUGUGGUCGCUUAUGUAUACGUAGUCGAGUUCCAAAAAAGGGGCCUUCCCCACACACAUUUUUUGUUGAUCAUGGACUCAGCAUAUAAGCUUAUCGUCCCAGAGCAGUAUGACCGACUCAUAUCAGCAGAGCUCCUAGACAAGCAUAAGUAUCCCGAAUUGUAUGCAAUGGUGGUAAAGCAUAUGAUGCACGGACCAUGCGGUUCUCUCAACCCAAAUAAUGUUUGCAUGCAAGAAAACGGAUGCAAGUGCAGAUACCCGAGGCCGUUCAAUGAAAACACAUCAUAG
rnacentral:rRNA from 1 species